GGGGGUGUUUUGGUUUUGACAGCGCUGAUGCUGGACGGUAAGCAUACCGGGCGUGGAAGCCUAGCCCGUAAAUCUCAGACUUCGAAAAAUCAGUUGCCAACAACAACUACGCACUCGCUGCUUAAUUAGCCUAAGGCAAUUAGCUUAAUCCGCGUCGCCAAGGCUGCGACGCCGACGAGUAUCCCUCGGACCUUCCGCCCUGUAUCGUCCGGCCCAGGGGUAUCAUUCAGACAGGGAUGCACCGGUGGACGCCUUUAAAGCCGGCCAAGACCUAAAGGCUAAGGUUGCUUUCGCCCGUCUUCCGGCAGGAGCAGCACAAAAACCAAAGGAAGAAUAAGUAUGUAGAAAGCCGCCUGGUGCGACGUUUGGACAGCAGUUCGAGUCUGCUCACCUCCACA
rnacentral:tmRNA from 1 species